CUCCCUGGACACUGUUCUUUGUUGGAUAUUGUUGGGAGAUACAUGCCCAGGAGUGGGAUUGCAUGACCACAUGAAGCCUAGUUAAAGCCUAACAUCUAUCUUUUUAGAUUCUGGCUAGAUUUUUAUCACUUAUGGGAACCUAGGCAAAUUACUUAUCUUCGAAUUGUAGCUGGAAGUGUGCUGAAAAACUUCAAGUUUCACAAAAGUUGAGAACUGGCUCUUCUGGAAACUGGAUUUUGGAAAACUAGACUGAUGCUCCCAAAAGUUCCUAAUGUAAUAAUACAGGCUUGACCUACUUUGUGAUCCCAAACCCUGGAAUUU
rnacentral:lncRNA from 1 species